rnacentral:misc_RNA from 1 species
GGCCUGGAUUGCUGUUGAGCUCCUUGGAUAUUAAAGUCCAAAAUUGGAUCAUCUUUGGGUAUCUCCACAUGUGGAUCCUAGGCCUGAGGAGGUCCAGUGGCAGGGCCUGUAGUGCCGCUGGGAGAGUCCGUGGUUAGGAAGGACCUGUUUGAGACGAAGCUGGUGGCGGAUUAGCCAUGAGCAGCUUUGUGAUGUCCAUUUUUUCAUCCUUGCUGUUAUCUUCAGAUGAUUCAUCUGAAGAGAUAUCUUCUGGCUCAGAGGGUAUAGACAUCAUCUGCUGAGGAGAGGG